rnacentral:rRNA from 1 species
CAUCCUCCAAGGCUAAAUACUCCUGACUGACCGAUAGUGAACCAGUACCGUGAGGGAAAGGCGAAAAGAACCCCGGCGAGGGGAGUGAAAAAGAACCUGAAACCGUGUACGUACAAGCAGUGGGAGCACAGGUUUACCUGUGUGACUGCGUACCUUUUGUAUAAUGGGUCAGCGACUUAUAUUCUGUAGCAAGGUUAACCGAAUAGGGGAGCCGUAGGGAAACCGAGUCUUAAUCGGGCGUUAAGUUGCAGGGUAUAGACCCGAAACCCGGUGAUCUAGCCAUGGGCAGGUUGAAGGUUGGGUAACACUAACUGGAGGACCGAACCGACUAAUGUUGAAAAAUUAGCGGAUGACCUGUGGCUGGGGGUGAAAGGCCAAUCAAACCGGGAGAUAGCUGGUUCUCCCCGAAAGCUAUUUAGGUAGCGCCUCGUGAAUUCAUCUCCGGGGGUAGAGCACUGUUUCGGCUAGGGGGCCAUCCCGGCUUACCAACCCGAUGCAAACUGCGAAUACCGGAGAAUGUUAUCACGGGAGACACACGGCGGGUGCUAACGUCCGUCGUGAAGAGGGAA